UCGUGCGACGCUUUCCCUGCUGUCCCAGUACAAGUGCUAAGCCAGAGUAAAGCUUCCCUCACCGCUAGGGUUUCGGCGACGGGAGCUGAGGUCGCACAGAUGGACUUCGUGAAUCCGUCGAUGAGGAGGCCGCCGCUGUUUCGGACAAUGCCCGCAACCGAACCUAGCGUCGUGGAGGAAGACCAGGCGCUAUCCACGUUGAUUUUACAGGUUCGGGGUUUGUUGGUUUUUCUGUUCACCAGAUCUGGGUGGGUAAUAGUUGUUUUCGGGUUCUUAUACGGGAGCAUCAUGGAGGUUGCAUCUUCAAGGGCCUGCGUGGGGUUUGGUCGACGGUUUUGGAAAACCAGGGCAUUUCUUGAUUUCCAUAUCUGCCAUAGAGUGCCUGCGAACAGGGUCUUGGUCUGAGGAGCUGCCGUCGAGGUAAGGAUGUCACAAAUCCAUGCGUCUAUACGGCUUAUAUUCUUCGGGGAGGUGUUAUGAUAGACCUAAUUGACAAGAGCAGAGUUUGGUCAUUUAGGAGUAGAAUCAUGGGUAACUUGAAGAGAAUUGGCAGCUCAUCAAUAAAGCCAUUAGCGACACAAAAUAUGAAGUUAUCAAUUAGAACCUUGAAGUUGACCGACAAAGUCAUCGAUAUCAAAAGCAAGCAAUCAAUAAGAGGAUAACUGUAGGUUGGUUAUUUUGCCGCUAUUUUAGGAUUGUUGUAACUUAUCAUAACCACUAUGAAGUAAUAUCUUUUUCAAUAUCCAUUUGUAACCUCCAUUUGGUAACUGUUUGUAACAUCUGUUUUUGAUUUCCCUUUGUAACCUUCAUCAAUAACCAUCCAUUGUAGGCUUUAAAUAGCCAUAUCAUACUCUUCGGAGACCCCUCACACAAAUCAAACAAAUUUACUAUCUUUUAGUAUCUUUACUUUCUUGCAUCAUAAUUCUACUUUCCAGACUCGAAUUGUCGAUUUA
rnacentral:lncRNA from 1 species